rnacentral:rRNA from 1 species
GCUGAUGCGUUGUUGGGUAGGGGAGCGUUCUGUAAGCCUGUGAAGGUGGCCUGUGAGGGUUGCUGGAGGUAUCAGAAGUGCGAAUGCUGACAUAAGUAACGAUAAAGCGGGUGAAAAGCCCGCUCGCCGGAAGACCAAGGGUUCCUGUCCAACGUUAAUCGGGGCAGGGUGAGUCGACCCCUAAGGCGAGGCCGAAAGGCGUAGUCGAUGGGAAACGGGUUAAUAUUCCCGUACUUGGUGUUACUGCGAAGGGGGGACGGAGAAGGCUAUGUUGGCCGGGCGACGGUUG